rnacentral:rRNA from 1 species
GACGAACGCUGGCGGCGUGCUUAACACAUGCAAGUCGAACGGAAAGGCCCUGCUUUUGUGGGGUGCUCGAGUGGCGAACGGGUGAGUAACACGUGAGUAACCUGCCCUUGACUUUGGGAUAACUUCAGGAAACUGGGGCUAAUACCGGAUAGGAGCUCCUGCUGCAUGGUGGGGGUUGGAAAGUUUCGGCGGUUGGGGAUGGACUCGCGGCUUAUCAGCUUGUUGGUGGGGUAGUGGCUUACCAAGGCUUUGACGGGUAGCCGGCCUGAGAGGGUGACCGGCCACAUUGGGACUGAGGUACGGACCAGACUCCUACGGGAGGCAACAGUGGGGAGUAUUGCACAAUGGGCGGAAGCCUGAUGCAGCGACGCCGCGUGCGGGAUGACGGCCUUCGGGUUGUAAACCGCUUUCGCCUGUGACGAAGCGUGAGUGACGGUAAUGGGUAAAGAAGCACCGGCUAACUACGUG